rnacentral:rRNA from 1 species
CAGUAGCCACGGUAAUACGAAGGGGGCUAGCGUUGUUCGGAUUUACUGGGCGUAAAGCGCACGUAGGCGGAUUCUUAAGUCAGAGGUGAAAUCCCAAGGCUCAACCUUGGAACUGCCUUUGAUACUGGGGAUCUUGAGUCCGGGAGAGGUGAGUGGAACUGCGAGUGUAGAGGUGAAAUUCGUAGAUAUUCGCAAGAACACCAGUGGCGAAGGCGGCUCACUGGCCCGGUACUGACGCUGAGGUGCGAAAGCGUGGGGAGCAAACAGGAUUAGAUACCCCGGUAGUCCCUGUCUCUUAUAC